UUAAAGGCAUUGAUGUGAAAGAGUAAUUACAUACAUGAAACAAAGAGAGAGAAUGCAGGUGGAAAUUUCUCAUGAUUGAUGUAAUAAAGGUAGUCACAGAGCUUUAAACUGAAAGCUUCAGGCAAGUAGGCUUUAACGGAAUCCCACCGUUAAGAGGGAACUAGUAUCGGCAUAUGUUGCCCGUACUAUGUUGAGAGUGUACAUUUGUACAAAAUUAGGUGGUACCACGGAAAUUUACCCUUCGUCCUAUUA
rnacentral:ncRNA from 1 species